CACACUGUAAUGACAGCCCGGAUUCCUCUGGUCUCCCUCAGAAUACGACGCUUCCUCUUGAUGUUUGUGGCAAGACAGCUAUGAGGGCAUCUUGAAAGGGGGUCUUUCUUUUUGCAGCAACAUGUAGAGUUUAUUUAACUUUUCAUCCUGCCUUUAGCGUUUUCGUUAUUUGGUGUAUUGCUGUUGUGGAUAAAACCAUAGCACAAAAAUAUGAGUUUUGUGCGUGGGGUAUUUUUUCCUUACGUCAAAAAUAGCCUACAUUCAUCCGUAACUUAAACGCAAUUCUGAAUAUAACUACAAAAGUUAACUAAUCGUGGAUGUAGUCAUGGGGGUAAACUUGAAUUUGCGAUAUCUAAACCAUUAACGUUUGGAUGAAUUGUUUAGCAUGAGAGCAGGUGAGUCAGUCUUCGUGUUUGUCUAGUGAGGCGACGCGCGCAUUGCCCACGGAUAGAACGAAGCCAAGUGUUGGAGAACGGUGGAGAACGGCGCAGUGAUCAGCGGUGAUCUGUGCUGGGGAUUACGCCUCCGAACACUGGGGAAAAGCCAGGCACGCCGAUAUGGGUUCUAAGCUGCGUGAUGGACGACUGGUGCACCUCCCACUCCUCCUGCUCCUCGUCCUCCAGGCCCUGCUGCUGCUCUGCUCUGGUGAACGCACCUGCCCCCACAGCUGCCGUUGUGAUGGGAAAAUCGUCCAUUGCGAGUCAGCUGGCUUCUCAGAUGUCCCUGAGAACAUCUCAGUGGGCUGCCAAGGCCUCUCUCUCCGCUACAAUGACCUGCACACACUGCUCCCCUACCAGUUUGCCCACCUCAACCAAAUCCUCUGGCUCUACCUGGACCACAACCAGAUCUCUGCUCUAGAUAGCCGGUCCUUCCAGGGGGUCCGCAGGCUUAAAGAGCUGAUCCUCAGCUCCAACAAGAUCUCUCAGCUCCACAAUGCCACCUUCCACGGGGUGCCCAACCUCCGCAGCCUGGACCUGUCCUACAACAAGCUGCAGAUGCUGCAGCCGGGGCAGUUCCACGGCCUGAGGAAGCUGCAGAACCUCCACCUCCGCUCAAACGGCCUCACCAACAUCCCCAUCCGGGCCUUCCUGGAAUGUCGCAGCCUGGAGUUUCUGGACCUGGGCUACAACCGUCUCCGGGCCCUCACCAGGACCACUUUCCUGGGGCUGCAGAGGCUCAUGGAGCUGCACCUGGAGCACAACCAGUUCUCCCGGAUCAACUUCUUUCUGUUUCCACGUCUUGCUAACCUGCGGGGGCUCUAUCUGCAGUGGAACCGCAUCCGAGCAGUCAACCAGGGCCUGCCCUGGAGUUGGCACACGCUGCAGAAACUGGACUUGUCUGGCAACGAGAUCCAGACCCUGGACCCAGCCGUAUUCCACUGCCUGCCCAACCUACAGAUCCUCAAUCUGGAGUCCAACAAACUGUCCAACGUGUCCCAGGAGGCAGUGUCUGCCUGGAUAUCUCUGACCUCCAUCAGCCUGGCGGGUAACGUGUGGGAAUGUGGGACAGGCAUCUGCCCACUGGUGGCUUGGCUGAGAAACUUUCGAGGCACUAAAGACACCACCAUGAUAUGCAGCAGCCCAAAGCAUCUCCAGGGAGAGAAGAUCAUGGAGGCUACGAGGAACAACGGAAUUUGUGAGGAAACAGACUACUUCCAGACAGAAACUCCUUCCCCGACACCAGAUUUCAUUGAGACGACACCCGACCCAACCCCUGCUCCCACCAGCCCCCCUCCACCCCUGCCUCCACCUACCACCCUGGCCCCCCUACCCCCACCUCGGCCUCAGCCCCUUCCCCGCCCGACCUUCCCAAGCCGGGUAGGAAUUGACCCCAGAGACUCCCCUCCCCAGGCCCCACCCUCCCUCCGCAGCCUGGUGGUGACUCAGCCCCCAGAGCUGGAGCUCAUGUCCUUCCACAAGGUAGUGGUGGGCAGUGUGGCGCUCUUCUUCUCCAUGUCGCUCAUCCUGACCGUCAUCUAUGUGUCGUGGAGGCGCUACCCGAACGCUGCACGACUCCUGCAGCAGAGCUCCGUGGUGGGCCGCAAGCGACGGAAAAAGAGCCCCGAGCCAGAGCAGAACCUGAGCUCCCAGCUGCAGGAAUAUUACAUGAGCUACAACCCGGCUGCCACCCCGGAGGGUUUGGAGGUGCUCGGCAACGGGACUGGGUCCUGCACCUGCAUCUCUGGCUCCAGGGAAUGCGAGGUAUGACCAGUCACAUGAGCCUUUAAAAACAAAACCCCAAAAGCAAAAACACAAAGGCUCAAGAAAGAGAGAAUGAAUACACGUGUCCCCGACCAUUGCCUGGAGCUUGGCUUGGAGACGUACCCACCAUUCACUAGAAGAUGUAUGUUUAACCAGCCCAUUGCGAACUAGCAGAGGAAUCAGGCCCUACAACACUACAGCUUCUCCAUUACUGUCUGUUCUGAUCCUACAGUGGCACUCUCUAAACGUCUACAGUAUGCCUCCACGAGCCCAUUGACAAUCUAAUAUAGGAGCAAGAAUGACUUUCAUGAUUUCUAUCCCACUGAAUAUUUAUGUUUUCUUUUCUUUUACAAGGUCUCUAUACUCUUUCUGACUGGUUCUCAGCUGCCCUGGGACAGUGUUCAUCCAGCUAUGACCUAGGUUGCUGUUAACGCACCGGCCACUUUAACCCUUUGAUUAGCCAAUUGUGCUAGUCCAGAUUGAGGGGGGUUGAAACACUUCGCGUCUGCAGCACCCCUCUGACCGUUGCCACGGAAACGCGGGACUCUGACUUGGCGUGUGACACAAUGAGCAGUGGAACCCUGUCACUCUGCUGGAGGCUGGCGAUGUGGAAGUGAGCUGUGGAGCUUACGGAACAUUACAUCUAAUGAAGGUGACAAGUGGACAGGGCUGUGACCGCCCAGACAUUUCACAGUGAAGUUUCAGCCCAGCCAUUUCCAUGAUUUUUCUUUGCUGUUGAACAACCCAUUAUUUGCAGCUGUGGUUUAAAAAAAUAUGAAUCAUUUCUGUUCUGUCGAGACGGCUACAAAAAGAGCUAUCCGCUGAUUUGCGGCUCAGAAGUAUUUAUGUGUAUUUUGUUUGCUUUGUAAGUUUACAGUGUGCACCUGUCUGUUGAGUAAUAUUUGAGUUAAGCUGUCAUUGUUCAUCUAGUCCCCUGGGGAGCUGGAGGUCGUUUUCUAAAAGGUCUGAGGAUCUACUCUGGAGAACAACUGAUCCUCUUGCCAAUCACACCCGGUGGAGGACUCAGUCUAUUCCCAGACACACAGACAACUGUAAUUACACACCUUGGCCCAUAAUCAGGCCAGGAAAUAAAAUAAAAAGGUAAACCUGAGUCUCAAGCUUCUCAACUGGGGUAUAUGUCUAUUUCAAGAACGAAAAAUCUACCGUCUCUCUCCGACAACAAAAGCCUUUAGGGGUGGGUGUUUUGAGUGUCUCUGGCCUCUAUUCAGUCAGUGUGAUUUUAAAUUUAAAGGCAAUGUUCCCACGUUAGUUUAGACUGCAUUCACGGUAAACGCUGCAUAUGUUGACUCAAUCGUAAAUGACCUUUACAUUUUCAUUGUGCAAUCUGUAACGCUUCAGCAAUACAGAUUGAAUCCAGCCCUCUGUCUCGUGGGGACUGGGGAGGACUCUCUCCGUGGUUGUUCUGUCACAUUAAGAGAGGACCAGAUGAUUUCACAGUGAAACCAUUUCAAAGCAGAGUUCCCUCUGGGAUAAUACUCACUGAUAUGAGACUAUUGCCAUAGGGUCAGAGCACUAGAGGGACAGAUGUUCUAUAUCCAAUCAGCUCUUUUGUGUGUGUGUGUGUGUGUGUGUGUGUGUGUGUGUGUGUGUGUGUGUGUGUGUGUGUGUGUGUGUGUGUGUGUGUGUGUGUGUGUGUGUGUGUGUGUGUGUGUGUGUGUGUGUGUGUGUGUGUGUGUGUGUGUGUGUGUGUGUGUGUGUGUGUGUGUGUGUGUGUGCGUUCAUUCGUUGGAAUGAUGAACGUUCCACAGAGGAUUCCUUGGAUUCCUCUGUAAUCUUUGAAGAUGGACGAAGCUUCAACUCUCUCCUGUUCUUAUAGUACUACAGUGCUCUUCUGCCAAAU